rnacentral:misc_RNA from 1 species
GAUGAAGAACGUAGCGAAAUGCGAUAAGUAAUGUGAAUUGCAGAAUUCCGUGAAUCAUCGAAUCUUUGAACGCACAUUGCGCCCUCUGGUAUUCCGGGGGGCAUGCCUGUCCGAGCGUCAUUUGCAACCCUCAAACCCGGCUUGUGUGAUGGGUGCCGUCCCCUACGGGACGCGCCCCGAAGGCAAUGGCGGCGUCGCGGUUAUCCGAUCAGCCAAAGUGUAUGGGGCUUUGUCACUCACUUUACGGCCCGGACCGGCGCCAGUCCGAAUCAAUCUUUUUUCUAAAGUUGACCUCGGAUCAGGUAGGGAUACCCGCUGAACUUAAGCAUAUCAAUAAGCGGAGGA